GACGAACGCUGGCGGCGUGCUUAACACAUGCAAGUCGAACGAUGAAGCCUAGCUUGCUAGGUGGAUUAGUGGCGAACGGGUGAGUAAUACGUGAGUAACCUACCUUUAACUCUGGGAUAAGCCUGGGAAACUGGGUCUAAUACCGGAUACGACCAAUCUCCGCAUGGGGUGUUGGUGGAAAGCGUUAUGUAGUGGUUAUAGAUGGGCUCACGGCCUAUCAGCUUGUUGGUGAGGUAACGGCUCACCAAGGCGACGACGGGUAGCCGGCCUGAGAGGGUGACCGGCCACACUGGGACUGAGACACGGCCCAGACUCCUACGGGAGGCAGCAGUGGGGAAUAUUGCACAAUGGGCGCAAGCCUGAUGCAGCGACGCCGCGUGAGGGAUGACGGCCUUCGGGUUGUAAACCUCUGUUAGCAGGGAAGAAGAGAAAUUGACGGUACCUGCAGAGAAAGCGCCGGCUAACUACGUGCCAGCAGCCGCGGUAAUACGUAGGGCGCGAGCGUUGUCCGGAAUUAUUGGGGCGUAAAGAGCUUGUAGGCGGUUUGUCGCGUCUGCUGUGAAAGGCCGGGGCUUAACCCCGUGUAUUGCAGUGGGUACGGGCAGACUAGAGUGCAGUAGGGGGAGACUGGAACUCCUGGUGUAGCGGUGGAAUGCGCAGAUAUCACGAAGAACACCGAUGGCGAAAGGCAGGUCUCUGGGCUGUUACUGACUCUGAAAAGCGAAAGCAAGGGGGAGCCGACAGCG
rnacentral:rRNA from 1 species